rnacentral:rRNA from 1 species
UACGUAGGUGGCGAGCGUUGUCCGGAUUUACUGGGCGUAAAGGGUGCGUAGGAGGUCUUUCAAGUCAGGAGUGAAAGGCUACGGCUCAGCCGUAGUAAGCUCUUGAAACUGUAAGACUUGAGUGCAGGAGAGGAGAGUGGAAUUCCUAGUGUAGCGGUGAAAUGCGUAGAUAUCAAGAAGAACACCAGUGGCGAAGGCGGCUCUCUGGCCUAGAACUGACGCUGAAGCGCGAAAGCGUGGGUAGCGAACGGGAUUAGAUACCCU